AUGAACGCUGACAGAAUGCUUAACACAUGCAAGUCUUUGGCGAAGCUGUGCUUGCACAGCCUAGCCAAGGCGGACGGGUGAGUAACGCGUAAGGAACUUGCCCUGCAGUCAGGGAUAACAGACGGAAACGACUGAUAAGACCUGGUAAAGUCAGGCGGACUCAUGUCCAGCCUGAUGAAAAGAGAUGCUGCAGGAGAGCCUUGCGUCCUAUUAGCUUGUUGGUGGGGUAACGGCCCACCAAGGCGAUGAUAGGUAGCCGGCCUGAGAGGGUGGACGGCCAAAAGGGGAAUGAGAUACGGCCCUUACUCCCACGGGAAGCAGGAGUGGGGAAUAUUGGAAAAUGGGGGCAACCCUGAUCCAGCAAUUCUGUGUGCACGAUGAAGGUUUUCGGAUUGUAAAGUGCUUUCAGCAGGGAAGAAAAAAUGACGGUACCUGCAGAAGAAGCGACGGCUAAAUACGUG
rnacentral:rRNA from 1 species